rnacentral:rRNA from 1 species
AUUGAACGCUGGCGGCAGGCUUAACACAUGCAAGUCGAGCGGAAAGGCCACUUCGGUGGUACUCGAGCGGCGAACGGGUGAGUAACACGUGAGUAAUCUGCCCUUGGCUUUGGGAUAGCCACCGGAAACGGUGAUUAAUACCGGAUAUGACCACUUCACGCAUGUGAUGGUGGUGGAAAGUUUUUCGGCCAGGGAUGUGCUCGCGGCCUAUCAGCUUGAUGGUGAGGUAAUGGCUCACCAUGGCUUCGACGGGUAGCCGGCCUGAGAGGGUGACCGGUCACACUGGGACUGAGACACGGCCCAGACUCCUACGGGAGGCAGCAGUGGGGAAUAUUGGACAAUGGGCGGAAGCCUGAUCCAGCAACGCCGCGUGAGGGAUGACGGCCUUCGGGUUGUAAACCUCUUUCAGCAGGGACGAAGCGCAAGUGACGGUACCUGCAGAAGAAGCACCGGCCAACUACGUGCCAGCAGCCGCGGUAAUAC